AGAGUUUGAUCCUGGCUCAGAAUCAACGCUGGCGGCGUGCCUAACACAUGCAAGUCGAACGAGAAAGUGGAGCAAUCCAUGAGUAAAGUGGCGACCGGGUGAGUAACACGUGACUAACCUACCCUGAAGUGGGGAAUAACCUCGGGAAACCGGGGCUAAUACCGCAUAACAUCGCGAGCUGUAAACGCUUGUGAUCAAAGGAGCAAUUCGCUUUAGGAGGGGGUCGCGGCUGAUUAGUUAGUUGGUGAGGUAACGGCUCACCAAGACAAAGAUCAGUAUCCGGCCUGAGAGGGCGCACGGACACACUGGAACUGAAACACGGUCCAGACUCCUACGGGAGGCAGCAGUGGGGAAUUUUGCGCAAUGGGGGAAACCCUGACGCAGCAACGCCGCGUGGAGGAUGAAGUCCCUUGGGAUGUAAACUCCUUUCGAUCGGGACGAUUAUGACG
rnacentral:rRNA from 1 species